rnacentral:rRNA from 1 species
AUUGAACGCUGGCGGCAGGCCUAACACAUGCAAGUCGAACGCGUGGCGGACGGGUGAGUACUGUCUGGGAAACUGCCUGAUGGAGGGGGAUAACUACUGGAAACGGUAGCUAAUACCGCAUACCAUCAGAUGUGCCCAGGUGGGCUUAGCUUGUUGGUGGGGUAACGGCUCACCAAGGCGACGUUCCCUAGCUGGUCUGCGAGGAUGACCAGCAACACUGGAACUGAGACACGGUCCAGAAUCCUACGGGAGGCAGCAGUGGGGAAUAUUGCGCAAUGGGAGAAAGCCUGAGGCAGCAAUGCCGCGUGUAUGAAGAAGGCCUUCGGGUUGUAAAGUACUUUCAGCGGGGAGGCGUUACCCGCAGAAGAAGCACCGGCUAACUCCGUGCCAGCAGCCGCGGUAAUUC